GACGAGGGAUCCUAGCGUUGUUCGGAAUUAUUGGGCGUAAAGCGGGUGUAGGCGGACUUAUAAGUCAGGUGUGAAAUCCCAGGGCUCAACCCUGGAAGUGCACUUGAUACUGUAAGUCUUGAAUGUGGUAGAGGUUACUGGAAUUCCUGGUGUAGUGGUGAAAUACGUAGAUAUCAGGAGGAACACCGGAGGCGAAGGCGGGUAACUGGGCCAACAUUGACGCUGAGACCCGAAAGCGUGGGGAUCAAACAGG
rnacentral:rRNA from 1 species